rnacentral:rRNA from 1 species
UUGGACAAUGGUAGGAGAGCGUUCUAAGGGCGUUGAAGCAUGAUCGCAAGGACAUGUGGAGCGCUUAGAAGUGAGAAUGCCGGUGUGAGUAGCGAAAGACGGGUGAGAAUCCCGUCCACCGAUUGACUAAGGUUUCCAGAGGAAGGCUCGUCCGCUCUGGGUUAGUCGGGUCCUAAGCUGAGGCCGACAGGCGUAGGCGAUGGAUAACAGGUUGAUAUUCCUGUACCACCAUUAUUCGUUUUAAGCGAUGGGGGGACGCAGUAGGAUAGGCGAAGCGUGCUGUUGGAGUGCACGUCCAAGCAGUGAGAUUGAGUGUUAGGCAAAUCCGGCACUCUUAAGAUUGAGCUGUGAUGGGGAGAGGAACUUGUUCCUCGAGUCGUUGAUUUCACACUGCCGAGAAAAGCCUCUAGCUAGAAUAACGGUGCCCGUACCGCAAACCGACACAGGUAGUCAAGAUGAGAAUUCUAAGGUGAGCGAGCGAACUCUCGUUAAGGAACUCGGCAAAAUGACCCCGUAACUUCGGGAGAAGGGGUGCUCUU